rnacentral:lncRNA from 1 species
AAUUUUUGGCUUGACCAGAAGCAGGAAGAGUAGGAAAUGUUAUUUUAAAAAGUCCCGUUUUUCACACUGCUGAUGUCUGGAGAGUCGAGAUAAGCUUUGAGCCUACUUCCAAAUCUCUGGGUGCUCCUCCAAGCGUGCUGGAAAUGGGGGUGUGAAACAUAGCUUGCUGAGGUGGGAUUGGACAGGGAUCAAGACGCAACAGAAUUGGCGCUGUCAAGAGGCAAGAUAAGGCAUUUGCAAUUGGCAGUGUUUCAAAGGACUCCAGAUUUCUCCAAAGAACCUAGAUUUCCCAGGUACUGAACAUGUGCAAAAUAGAAACAAACAUUCAAGAUGAGUGAGUGAUGAGUUCUGCCUGUGGUCAGAAGAAAACAACACUCCCAACUCUGCAACCUGAUCACUUCCCUACUUAGUCCUGUUUGUGGAGCCGCCUUAUUAACGACAUUAGAACAAAGAUAUGAAGGUGAUGUACAAUCAUUACUAGUUUUUAACCAAAGAUUUUGGUCACAAUAAGGACCAAUAGCUGUUUCUUUGGACCUCUGAGCCCAUCUCUGCUGGAAAGGUAUUUGAUACAUUUUAGCAUGCAGGAAACAAUAAACAUUUACAUUUAUUUUAAAGAACAUGUUCUGGGAAGCCAAACAAAAGACCAAGCCACACUGGACUUGCAAGUCU